rfam:Schizosaccharomyces cryophilus OY26 unplaced genomic scaffold supercont4.1, whole genome shotgun sequence.
GUCUACGGCCAUACCUAGGCGAAAACACCAGUUCCCGUCCGAUCACUGCAGUUAAGCGUCUGAGGGCCUCGUUAGUACUAUGGUUGGAGACAACAUGGGAAUCCUGGGUGCUGUAGGCU